UGUCCUACGGGAGGCAGCAGUGGGGGAUAUUGCACAAUGGGGGAAGCCCUGAUGCAGCGACGCCGCGUGGGUGAAGAAGCGCCUCGGCGCGUAAAGCCCUGUCAGCAGGGAAGAAAAUGACGGUACCUGAAGAAGAAGCCCCGGCUAACUACGUGCCAGCAGCCGCGGUAAUACGUAGGGGGCAAGCGUUAUCCGGAUUUACUGGGUGUAAAGGGGGCGCAGACGGCGAUGCAAGCCAGGAGUGAAAGCCCGGGGCCCAACCCCGGGACUGCCCUUGGACCUGCGUGGCUAGAGUGCAGGCGGGG
rnacentral:rRNA from 1 species